UUCGACGAAACCAUCGCUCAGUUUGUGGCUGAAAUAGAGGUUGACAAUCCAGAUAGCAGUCUCCUGCAAGAAGAGUCGGAGGGCGAGUUGCAACAGGACCUGCCGCAAGUUGAUGAAAGUGUCAGCCAUGCUCCACCAACUUCAAGCCAGCGAGGCAGGAGGAGACAGAGUAGUAGAGAAAAUUAUGAUUCCAGAACUGAAGCUCUGUUGAGAGUAUUUAGGGAAGAAUCUGAAAAGGAUAGGCUUGCCUUUGCAUCAGCUUUGGAGAAUUUGACAAAUAAAAUAUUGGAGAAACUGUAA